AUACCGAGGGUGCGAGCGUUAAUCGGAAUGACUGGGCGUAAAGGGCACGUAGGCGGUAGGACAAGUUAGAUGUGAAAUGCCAGGGCUUAACCUUGGGACUGCAUCUAAAACUGUUUUACUAGAGUUCACUAGAGGGAAGUGGAAUUUCCGGUGUAGCGGUGAAAUGCGUAGAUAUCGGAAGGAACACCAGUGGCGAAGGCGGCUUUCUGGAGUUGAACUGACGCUAAGGUGCGAAAGCGUGGGGAGCAAACAGGAUUAGAUACCCGAGUAGUCC
rnacentral:rRNA from 1 species